AUGAAGAACGCAGCGAAAUGCGAUAAGUAAUGUGAAUUGCAGAAUUCAGUGAAUCAUCGAAUCUUUGAACGCACAUUGCGCCCGCUAGUAUUCUGGCGGGCAUGCCUGUCCGAGCGUCAUUUCAACCCUCAAGCCCCCGGGCUUGGUGUUGGGGAUCGGCGAGCCUCCGCGCCCGCCGUCCCCUAAAUCUAGUGGCGGUCUCGCUGUAGCUUCCUCUGCGUAGUAGCACACCUCGCACUGGGAAACAGCGCGGCCACGCCGUUAAACCCCCAACUUCUGAACGUUUGACCUCGGAUCAGGUAGGAAUACCCGCUGAACUUAAGCAUAUCAAUAAGCGGAGGA
rnacentral:misc_RNA from 1 species